rnacentral:misc_RNA from 1 species
UACGGAGGAUCCAAGCGCUAUUCGGAAUCAUUGGGUUUAAAGGGUGCGUAGGCGGGCGUGUAAGUCAGGGGUGAAAGUUUGUGGCUCAACCAUAAAAUUGCCUUUGAUACUGCAUGUCUUGAGUCAUGGUGGGGUCGCCGGAACAUGUGGUGUAGCGGUGAAAUGCAUAGAUAUCACAUAGAACACCGAUCGCGAAGGCAGGUGGCCAACCAUGUACUGACGCUGAUGGACGAAAGCGUGGGGAGCGAACGGG